rnacentral:tRNA from 1 species
GGAUGGGUGACUGAGUGGUCAAAAGUGCCAGUUUUGAAAACUGUUGCAGCACAAACUGCCGCGGGUUCGAAUCCUGCCUCAUCCA